AUAGGAUGGAUGGACAAGCUGAAAACAAUCCCUCUGGCCAUGGCUGUCGCUGGCGUGGAGGGUUAAAAAUAUUCUUAACGAAACAAUAUAAAUUGAAUUUGUGGCUCUUUCACUAAGAGGGUCUUGUGUGUGUUGCUUUUGUUGUUAUCAUAUUUAUUUUUACUGUAAAUGGUGUGAAAACAAAAUGAGUAACACUGACACUAAACUACUGUUAAACUGCUGGGAGAGGGAAUUUAUUGUUGUUGUUGUUGUUUUUCAUUUUUACUUCUUUUAUUUAUUUGUAUUUGGUUAUAUUACAGUCAUUCUAGCAAGCCAUUAAAUUUCCCAUUUUGGAGGAUUACUUGAAUGCAUCACCUGACCUGGCAUGUCAGGAUCCCGUCAUUAAAGGCAGGUGUGUGAAAUUAGUAACUAGGGAAGACACCAAAAAGAGGAUACAAUCUUCAGCCGCUGUGUGUUUGGUUAAAUCUCAGUUUUAUUGUUUGAUAAAUAUGUGAAUAGCCACAUUUUUUGAACUCGGUUGUCAUAAAAGCUGGUUUAUUUGUUUGUUUGGAGUUUUUUGUUUCUUCUGAAUGCGACAGUCAGACAAACUCCCCUCGCAUCCCGUGAAUCAGUCGACACCCGAAGAACCCUGCAUCGUCAAACAAACACAAAACAUGGGGAGAAGGCAACAUCAACUUAACAAGAUAUGGCCCAAAAAUGAGCAAAAAAAAACUGAAAACAAACAACAAAAAGCAACUGACCUAAGUUCUGAAAAUAAAGGCAUGCAGGAGUCACAGUGCACCAGAGACUCGGUCGACUGUGGAAACGUGUUGGGGACGCUGUAGCU